rnacentral:lncRNA from 1 species
AUGAGGCCUGCUUUGAUGGGAAGUCUGAUUUGGACAUGCAGGAUGCAUGAGUAUUUCUCCUGGGCCUCUUCCUGUAAUAGUAGCAACCCUCAGUGGGAAAAAAAGGACACUUCUCUGGAAGGGCCUACUCAACAUGAAGAUGAAUGAAGACCUUUAUAAGGAUCUACUUCCACUUAAUGAACAGUAAAUAUAUAUUUUUUUGGUUUUCUUAAUGACAUUUUCCUUUCUUUAGCUUACUUUAUUGUAGUAAUGUAGUAUAUAAUACAUGUAACAUACUAAAUAUGUGUUAAUCAACUAUUUAUGUUAUCGGUAAGGCUUCUGGUCAACAGUAGGCUAUUAAGUUUUUGGGAAGUCGAAAGUUAUAUGCAGAUUUUUUGACUGUGCAGGAGGUCAGCGUCUCUAACCCCUGGGUUAUUCAAGGAUCAUCUACAUUUAUUUUAUUUUAAAAUCUAUUUUAUUUUAGAUUCAGGGGACACGUGUGCAUGAUUGUUACAUAGGUAUAUUGUGCACUGGUGGGAACUGGGAUUCUCGUGCACUCAUUACCCAAAUAGUGAACAUUGUACCUGAUAGGUUAUUUGUCAGUCCUUCCCCUCUUCCAGUGUUCCCCAUAUUGGAGUCCCAGUGUCUAUUAUUUCCAUCUUUGUGUCUAUGUGUACCCACAGUUUAGCUUCUACUUAUAAGUGAGAAGAGUGGCAUUUGGUUUUCUGUUUCUGAGUUAGUUCACUUUGGAUAAUGGGCUCUAGCUCCAUCCAUGUUGCUGCAAAGGACAUAAUUUCAUUAUUAUUAUUAUUAUUUUGAGACAAAGUCUAGCUUGUUUGCCCAGACUGGAGUGCAGUGGCUUGAUCUUGGCUCGCUGCAACCUCCACCUCCCGGGUUCAAGUGAUUCUUCUGCUUGAGCCUCCUGAGUAGCUGGGACUACAGGUGUGCACCACCAUGCCUGGAUAAUUUUUGUAUUUUUAGUAGAAACGGGGUUUCACCAUGUUGACCAGGCUGGUCUCGAACUCUUGACCUUGUGAUCCGCCUGCCUUAGCCUCCCAAAGUGCUGGGAUUACAGGCGUGGGCCACCACACCCGGCUGAUUUCAUUAUUUUCUAUGGCUGCAUCAUAUUCUGUGGUAUAUAUAGCAUAUUUAAAAUAAAGAAAACUUGCCCAACCCCCCCCCCCCCGCGUUUUUAUUUUUUAAAAAAUCUAGCAUAUCUUCUUUAUCCAGUCAACUGUUGACAGGUUGGUUCCAUG